UUUUCCUCCUGGUUUCACACCAAGUUUCAGCUUACGCUCAAACCAAUCACUUGGAAAUCAGUGUAUUUCAUUUCCUCCAUCGUUUCCAGCACAAAGACAGAGGGAGGAGAGGAGAGAGCAAAGAAAGACAGAGCAAAAAGAAGCGGAGUCCUAAAUGUGCUGUCCAUCAGGGAGCAGAAUCUGUGAUUGUCCUAUACAUCUGCAGGGAAGUCACCUCCACGUCUGGGACCUUGU